ACCUGGUUGAUCCUGCCNGUAGUCAUAUGCUUGUCUUAAAGAUUAAGCCAUGCAUGUCUAAGUAUAAGUAUCAUACAGCGAAACUGCGAAUGGCUCAUUAAAACAGUUAUAGUUUAUUUGAUAGUUCGAAAUGGAUAACUGUAGCAAUUCUAGAGCUAAUACAUGCAUAAACACCGGACCUCGCGGAAAGGUGGUAUUUAUUAGAUAUAAACCUUCACCUUCAUGGUGACUGAUGAUUCAUAAUAACUUCACUGAUCGCUGUUCUCAGCGAUAAAUCAUUCAAGUUUCUGCCCUAUCAGCUUUAGAUGGUAGUGUAUUGGACUACCAUGGCGAUCACGGGUAACGGAGAAUUAGGGUUCGAUUCCGGAGAGGGAGCCUGAGAAACGGCUACCACUUCUAAGGAAGGCAGCAGGCGCGUAAAUUACCCAAUCCUGACUUAGGGAGGUAGUGACAAGAAAUAACGACUCGGGACUUACAAAGUUUACGAGAUUGUAAUGAAAACAAUUUAAAACACUCAAUGAGGAACAAUUGGAGGGCAAGUCUGGUGCCAGCAGCCGCGGUAAUUCCAGCUCCAAUAGCGUAUAUUAAAGUUGUUGCAGUUAAAAAGCUCGUAGUUGAACUUCUGUCUGGCCGCCGACCUUUCAGGUUUGUAGUGGCUCGGACAUCCCCCUUGAGAUCAAGGUACGUUCUUUGGUGAUCGGCUUUGAAAUCAGGGAUUUUACUUUGAGAAAAAUUAGAGUGUUUCAGGCAGGCUUGCGCCGGAAUACAUUA
rnacentral:rRNA from 1 species